UCCUUUUAUUCAGUCCUUUUCCUUUUCCCUCCCAAACCACGUAAUCAUCUCUUUCAGCCUCAAAUAAAAGUUGUAUAACCAUUUCAUAACCACUGCUUUAGAGUUGCUAUCAAAAAGGCACAAGAAGAAGGACAUAAAAGUAAGGGGAGAGAAAUCAAAAGGAGAGGAGGUGAGGGAUACUCCAAUAAUUGAGAAACAGGGUGUGUGUGCAUCUUCAGAAUUCUCCUUUGUUGAUUAGCCCUCGAGACUGACCAUAGCAAGCUCAGUGGUCUGGUGAAAUUUUCCUCUAAUUUUUAUGGACAGAUGGGAAGCUGUUCUCCCCUCCGAGGCUCUGUUUUCCUUCCAAAUAGUUAAAAUAUUUUCUUUGAACUCUCCCAGAAUCAUUUAUUUUUGUCAUAAAUCCAUUCACAGAAUCCAAUUACAUAACGGAUAUGAGUUUUCCACACCCCCAAAAAGCUAAAAUAUUUACUCACAUUUUCCAGCAUUUUCCAUUUUCUACUCAUUUAUUUUUUAGUUCAACAAAACUUAAAUAACAUUUCCAUCACAAUUCUAUUUAUUGUUCCCCCACAAUGCUAGCUGAAAAUACCAACUGGAAAUGUACUCCAUUCCCACAUAGUAACUGCACUUCAAAAGACAAGAGAGUGACAAAGUAUGUCCAAUUUUUUCUUUUUUACACUUGAACUGAUUUUGGUUAGACUCUCCAGUUUUACAUUGUUUUUUGUAGAAAGUUCAGUCAUGUUGAAAAAGUCAGUUCCACUUUAUAUUUUUUCCACCUAAACAUUCACCUGUUGCCACAAAUCCAACGUGUCUAAAACCAAAUUUACUAUCUUCCUUCAGUCAGACUAGUUCUGCACUUCAACUUCCUUGCACCUGGCUUCCAGCCAAAUCAGCUGGAAACCUUACUCCUUGGAUGAAUGAAGUAAUACAUAGAAGGGAUGGGUAUAAGGCAUUUCAAGGAGGAUCAGCAAGACUUGGUGACUGACUCAGAGGAGGCAGUUAAAGCCUGACUCAAGGAAGAUUACCACCCAUCCUGCCCCUCACCUCCUCCUUGUCCUCCUCAACUCCACUCUCUUCCUGCUGUACCAAGGCUAAACUGGCAGCCUGAAUUUCUAGGGCCGCCAUAAUCUGAACCUAACCAAUUGCCGUGGACUUUUCCACUUUUCCUAAGUGGUUAUAUCCUAAUCCUACCCAUUCUCAAGGUCCAGCCCAAGAACCAAACCUUCCAUAAAAACUUGCUUUUCUAGAAUUCUAGAGUCUCAAGAUUGGAAGAGGAGAGGCUUCUAUUCUGAUUUCCUUUGUUCAUAAAGGCACCAGCAACCAGUGCUCUAGGCAUCUGAUUUAAUCAGUGCUUCAGUUCUGUGAGCCUCAUCUUCCAACCAGACUAUCAGCUCUGUAAGGGAAAGAUAAUCCCUCAGCAUUUGCCGUGUCUGCACCCUCACCCCUGCCCCACUGAAAUUAAGGGAGAAUGUGUGAUUAAUUUUCUUCUCAUCAUGUGUCUGUAGUAUGUUCUCUACUUCUCCAUCUUUAACACAUCACUUUAUCCGUUUCUUUUUUCAUUAUAAUUUGUUCAAUUCUGUCUGUGCCUUAUCCAUUACCUUCUUUUUUAUUUUUAUUUUUAUUUUUUUAAGAUGGAGUCUCGCUCUGUUGCCAGGCUGGAGUGCAGUGGUGUUCCCGGCUCACUGGAACCUCCGCCUCCUAGAUUCAAGUGAUUCUCCUGCCUCAGCCUCCCGAGUAGCUGGAACCACAGGCACGCACCACCAUGCACAUUUCACACUGAUCUCUGCCCUCAUCUUCUUGUGGCAUUCUCUCUCUUCUCUCUUUCUCUGUCUCUGUGUGUGCAUGUGUGUCUGUCUGCAAACUUCCCCUUUUUAUAAGAACACCAGUCAGAUUAUAUUAAUGCCUACUCUAAUGACCUCAUUUUAACUUGAUAACCUCUGUCUCCAAAUAAUGCCAUAUUCUGAGGUAUUGGGGGUUAGGGCUUCAAGAUAUUUUUUUAGGAGAGGGGAUAGAAUUUAACUCAUAAUGAUGAAACAAACUCUAAUCUAUAUAAAAUUGAAGACUGAAUUAGAAAGAUGAAGAGAGUAUUGAGAAAUUCACCCAAAAUAUACCCCAGAGAGACAAAGGUGUGUGUGUGUGUUUGUGUGUAUUUAUUCUGAAUACAUAGAUGUGUAUUUGUUUAUUUAUCUAUUUACUUCAGUUAAGAUACAUGAAGGAUAGAUUGAAAGGUCCCAACAUUCCAGCAUAUCUAAUAGUUUUAUUGUAGAAGGCAUUGGUGGCUGCCUACCCAGUUGCCAUUGCUUUUUCGUCAUCCUUAAUAGCAGAAUCUUGAUUUUUCUUUUCAGGAAGACAAUGUGCCUAACUAAAAAUACUUAAUUUCUCAGCCUCUCUUGCAACAAAGAUAGUCAUGUGACCAGUUCUGGACAGUGAGGUAGCAGCAGAAGUUCCUAGGCUGACCAUUCUUUUCUUAGUACAAAGUCAAAGUCCCAUUAGGAGAAAGUGCUUCACCCCAUAGUGCUUUGCCCACUGCCCCUGACCUUAAGACAGAAGUCCCAGUUGAUUUUUAUAGAAUAAUUUAACAAACCUUCAACAAACAGAUAAUCUCUACCUUUCAAAAAAUAGUGAGGGUGUUCUCACUCAUAGGUGGAAAUUGAACAAUGAGAACACGUGGACACAGGAAGGGGAACAUCACACACCGGGGCCUGUUGUGGGGUGAGGGGAGCGGGGAGGGAUAGGAUUAGGAGAUAUACCUAAUGUAAAUGACGAGUUAAUGGGUGCAGCACACCAACAUGGCACAUGUAUACAUACGUAACAAACCUGCAUAUUGUGCACAUGUACCCUAGAACUUAAAGUAUAAUAAAAAAAAAAAAGAAAAAGAAAAAUAGUGAGGAAAAGCACUCAAUUCAUUUUAUGAGGUUAUUAUACUUUUGUAACAAAGCUAUUAAAAAAA
rnacentral:lncRNA from 1 species